rnacentral:lncRNA from 1 species
GUCAUUUGCAAGCUCUAAUGGUAUGAUCUGAUGGGAUUUGAAGCAAGAUUUUAGGUUUUUUAAGUUUCGCGAUUUAACAGAAUUUCUAAAUUUUAGGGUUGAUUUUGAGAUGAUUUGAUGAUGUUUGAGCUCCUAAUAUUUUUGAAAUUUCUGUUGGGUUCUCUUUUCGAACUUAAUUUUAAUCGGUUGAUGUCAUUUUGUGUGCGAGUGUGAUGAAGAUUAUGCAGAUUGCUUUGAUUUUUGCAUUUCCCUGUUUUUUGGGAAUUGAGGGAGUAUAUAAUUCUGUUUCCAAACUUAAUUUCUGUUUUUUGCUAAUGACAACGUAAUUAUAUACUCCCUCUGUUCCUAAAAGAUUGUCGUUUAAGGUUAAUGCACACAGAUUAAAUGAUAUAAUUAAUACCUAGCGAAAAUAUUAUACUACCCUUAUUAAUUGUCUCAACUAAUUAUUCCAUUCUCAAUGUUUCUUAUUCAAUUCAACCAAUUACUUCUUAUUCAACCAAUUACUACUUGGAUUAUAACAUUGAAUUGAAUAAGAAUCAUUGGGAAGGGAAGAAAGCUUUAAAUAAGGGUAAAGUAGGGAAAAAAUAGCUAAUGUGUAUUGAUAAACUCAAAACGACAAUCUUUUUGAAACAAAAAUUACUUCCUAAAACGACAAUCUUUUAGGAACGGAGGGAGUAAUAAGGAUUGAAACUACUACUACUACUACAUAAUUGCUACAUUAUAUUGGACAUUUGGGUCCUGUUCUGUUCUUGCUGAGAAUCGAUCCCGGUAGUGAAUUCUCUCGGUCCGAUAAACAGAUUACUUUUUUCGACUCCGAAAAAUGCUGAGAAGGUUAGUAGUUCAAGCUUCGACUCAACGCCGUCGUUUCUUCUCCUUUCGACAAUGUUCCUCCUCCUCCUCGUCUUCCCCAACUCCUGUGAGUUCUUUCGUCGAGCACUUGGAGGAGGAGGAAGAGGAGAACGCAAACUUAUCCCAUAAUUUCACUACUCAAUCUUCCGCCAAACUAUCCAUCGAUCGCUCCGACUUAUAUAACCCCCCUGGUUCACUCUCUCUCCUCCAUUUCUAUACAUACAUAUUAGGACUGUAGAAUUUUAGUGUUAUAACAUGUUUGUGAUAUAUUUUGCAGAGCAUUCUCAUGAAGCAUCGUCAAGCUCUGAGCUUGUUAAGCAUCUAAAAGGCAUCAUCAAAAUUUAUGAUACACCUUUCUCUUUCUUCUGUUUUUCAUGUUGUACAUACACUGUUUGUGGAAAUUUCAUAUUGUUUGAGAAAUAAGUGAGACCAGAUUUGAAGUCCUCUAGGCGACAUUCGUGUUAGCAGUAUAGACUCGAUUUGUUACUUAAGGUAUUAAUAUUCUAUUAGGACAUGUUAGGGCAUAUGCAGUAUGUUACUGCCUGGGUUCCAAUUUAUUAGUCACUAUUACAUAAAAUACACAUAUGAAGGAUAUCAUUACUUUGUAGUUAAUAUAGUUCCUAAUUUCCAUAUUUGCUCUUUAUGUGUUGGUAGUCUCUCUCCUCCAAUUAAACUGCAAAAUAACGUUAAUUAAAAUAACAUUUCCUCUUCUUCAUUUCCACUUUUUCUCCAUAAAAACUGACUUCUCUCUCUCUCUUUAAGUGUAUAUCUCCCUCUCGUCUCCCUCCUUUUAUAUCACUUUCUCUCUCUUCUCUAUCAUUAACUCAUUAAUUAAAAUCACUCCAUAAUCAAUCUUCAAAAUUUCAAAAGCAUCAAAGCGGUUGUGCCAUGCUUUUUAAUUUUUUCUCUUCUGUUUUGGCUUUCCCUCCAUCUUUGUUCUAUCAAUAAGUCUAGGGGGACCAGGGUUUUCCGACCGGGGUAGUGACAGGCCGGAAUUAUUAUUUUUUUAGCUUUUGACUACUAAAUAAUUAAUGUGAUUUAUUG